AUUUUGUAAUAAUAUCAUCUGAAAGUAAAACAAUGAAAACAUCAUCAAUGAAGUUUGCUUUUGUUUUCUUCUUCGCCAUUACAUGGGUGAUGAGUAUAGUAGCAGUUCCAGAUGUUGAAGCAAAACAGUUAGCACCAGAAGAAGCUCCUUACGUUUUGUUGCAUCGUGAAGGUUCUUCACAAAAACAAUCUCCACAAAAGUUUAUAUUUAGAUGCGACACACCUAGGUGUCAAAUCAUUUGUACGAUUCGAUGUUUUUGUAUAUGCUAAGCUUCAUCUCUUCGUUAAUCAUAUGUAUUCACUAAAAUAAAAUAAAAGACUUGAUUGUUGCAUA